AUGCCCUCAGCCCCCGCCAUGGAGGCACGGGCCACGCUCUCUCUGAACUCACAAAACUCCGACAAUAAUCCCAAAUUAUUCACUUAAAAGGCACAGAAUGACAAACGAUAAACCUAGUGUCAGUUUGUGUUAAGGCGCGUGGCGUGAGGCAGAAGGUUUAGGAGGGGGAAAUAAGUACAAAACAUUUUUAUAGCGUUCUCCAGUGACCACUGUUAAACUGAAAGAGGAUUUUGGAAAACCUAGGCAUGCCUGUCGUUCAUGACCACAAACCAUGAAACUGAGGACAAAGUGAUUUCAGCCCAUAACACUGACACUCCAAGGAGCAGAUGUUGCAUCACCACACCUUAGAGACCCUCAGUGGAUUUCAGCACAUGCUCGUGAUCCCUUGAAGCUUUGCACGUUCUACCUCUCCCUGUGUCUCCCACAACCCACAGGUUUGGCCCUGCUGUGGUCCAAGGUCUAGUUUGAUGCAGCAGGAAAGACAGGAAGCUGAAACCAUGAAAGUACUGUUGGGAUGACAAUGGUUAGCUGGUAAAAGAUUGAAGAGAAAAGAUACAAAAGAAAAAGGAAAAAAAAAACAAACCAAAACAAUUGACCAAAAAAACAUGAUGACAACUAAUGGUGAGGAUCAGAGACCGAUAUUCCCCAGCCUAUUAGAAAUUUCCUGGCCAGCUAAAAUUCAUCCAUUUUCUUAUCAGCAGUGGUAAGCAUGUCACU